AUCUUAAAAGUUAGAAACUUAGAAGGAUUAUUCUUAUAAAAUAAAAACAUUGAAUAAAAAUAUGAAAAUAAAAAAAAAUGAAAUUAAAAAUACCGCAUAUAUAGCAUCCAUAGAAAAAAAAAAGAGAGAUAGACAUAAGAAAUAUUACUAGAAAUAUUACUCAAAAUAAGUAUACUCAAAAAUCAUAGAGAAUUAGUUUU